rnacentral:rRNA from 1 species
GAUGAACGCUGGCGGCGUGCUUAACACAUGCAAGUCGAACGGAAAGGCCCUGCUUUUGUGGGGUGCUCGAGUGGCGAACGGGUGAGUAACACGUGAGUAACCUGCCCUUGACUUUGGGAUAACUUCAGGAAACUGGGGCUAAUACCGGAUAGGAGCUCCUGCUGCAUGGUGGGGGUUGGAAAGUUUCGGCGGUUGGGGAUGGACUCGCGGCUUAUCAGCUUGUUGGUGGGGUAGUGGCUUACCAAGGCUUCGACGGGUAGCCGGCCUGGGAGGGUGACCGGCCACAUUGGGACUGAGGUACGGCCCAGACUCCUACGGGAGGCAGCAGUGGAAAAUAUUGCGCAAUGGGGGGAAGCCUGAUGCGGCAGCGCCGCGUGCGGGAUGACGGCCUUCGGGUUGUAAACCGCUUUCGCCUGUGACGAAGCGUGAGUGACGGUAAUGGGUAAAUAAGCACCGGCUAACUACGUG